AUUGAACGCUGGCGGCAUGCUUUACACAUGCAAGUCGAACGGUAACAGGCCGCAAGGUGCUGACGAGUGGCGAACGGGUGAGUAAUGCAUCGGAACGUGCCCAGUCGUGGGGGAUAACGCAGCGAAAGCUGCGCUAAUACCGCAUACGAUCUAUGGAUGAAAGCGGGGGACCGUAAGGCCUCGCGCGAUUGGAGCGGCCGAUGUCAGAUUAGGUAGUUGGUGGGGUAAAGGCUCACCAAGCCAACGAUCUGUAGCUGGUCUGAGAGGACGACCAGCCACACUGGGACUGAGACACGGCCCAGACUCCUACGGGAGGCAGCAGUGGGGAAUUUUGGACAAUGGGCGCAAGCCUGAUCCAGCAAUGCCGCGUGCAGGAAGAAGGCCUUCGGGUUGUAUACUGCUUUUGUACGGAACGAAACGGUCUGGGUUAAUACCUCGGGCUAAUGACGGUACCGUAAGAAUAAGCACCGGCUAACUACGUGCCAGCCGCCGCAGUAAGAC
rnacentral:rRNA from 1 species